AGCAGCCGCGGUAAUUCCAGCUCCAAUAGCGUAUAUUAAAGUUGUUGCAGUUAAAAAGCUCGUAGUUGAAUUUCGGGAUUGGCGCAUCGGUCGUGCCUCACGGGGUAUGAACUGGUGCAGUCAAUUUCUCACCUUCUGGAGAACCGCGAUGUCCUUAAUUGGAUGCCGCGGGGAACCAGGACCUUUACUUUAGAAAAAAUUAGAGUGUUUAAAGCAGGCAUUUUUGCUUGAAUACAUUAGCAUGGAAUAAUAAAAUAGGACGGCAUGGUUCUAUUUUGUUGAUUUCUAGGACCACCGUAAUGAUUAAUAGGGAUAGUUGGGGGCAUUAGUAUUCAAUUGUCAGAGGUGAAAUUCUUGGAUUUAUUGAAGACUAACUACUGCGAAAGUCAUUUGCCAAGGUAUGUCUUCAUUAAAUCAAGAACGAAAGUUAGGGGAUCGAAGACGAUCAGAUACCGUCGUAGUCUUAACCAUAAACCUAUGCCGACUAGGAAUCAGACGAUGUUAAUUUUUAAUGACUCGU
rnacentral:rRNA from 1 species